UCCAACAGAAAACACCAAACAACGCAUUCAGAGCAGAAUUAGGAUGAUACCCACUAAUUAUUAAAGUUCAAAAGAGAGCAAUUAAAUUUUAUUACCACCUUAAAAAUAGUGACUCCAAUACGCUCCAUAACAAAGCCCUGUGCUACAGAGAGACU